CAGCGUCUUUAAUAACUUCCUAGGAUUCCAUGGUAAUAAAUCCGAAUUAAAUAUGCUUGACCCAGGGAAAACAGAAAUUGGCAAAACUGGCCCAGACUUUCGGGGGGUUGGGGGGGCGGUGUAGGUGUGGCCGCAUUCCCACAAUGUCUGAACAAGUCUUGACAGUCCGUCUCGACUCCCGCAGAGCAGUUCUGAACCAAAGCUACUUUCCUUGAAGGGAGGUGGGACCCCAUGCCGGGUGAACGUACGACACGUGACCAACACGUGGACCCCAAAAGCAUUUCUGCUAAGUACGAGAAGCCUGCAGCCAAAGACCACACAUCGUACGAACCCAUUCUCACCAGAGGCCCAGGAAAGGGACGUCUGAAGAGACAUCAAGGACAUGGGUGGCUGCUUGGGGGCUGGGACCCCUGCCGAGGGAGAGCACACUGGGGGCAACGCGGCCUCGGAGCCAGGAUGCACAACUCCGACACCUGCUUCAAACACCACGGGGCUGUGCACUUACAGCGGCUGAGCUUCCGAGGACCGGCGCUCCCAUCUUCGGGAAGCUGCUGUGGACACGGCAGCGGUGCUCCUCUGAGACCCCUGCCCGGGCGUGCUCUCCUGCGGGCGCACGGCCCUCUCCACAAAUCCCGGGCUCAGAAAAGCGCGCCGCUCCCGACUGCCCGGAGGCCUUCCGGGGGCUGGCCACAACGACGGCGCGGGAACCCAGGCUGUGACGCUGGCCGGGGAUGCCACAGGAGUCACGCGAGGGACGCGAAGCCCUCAUCUGCAGGAGUCCUCGCGGCCAGAAGGAGAGCGGCCGCCCAAGAUGGCGCCGCCCCCAGCCCGGCUGUCUGCGCAGGCGCCUGGCCCGGCCUUCGGGGUUAGGCUCUGGAGCCGGGCCUACAGAGUUCUGUGCAUUUACCCAAGGCUGCAGAGAGCAGUCGGUAGAAGCACGGCGUCGGUUUGCUAAGAUCCUACCAACGCCGUGGGUCUGCUAAGGUCUUACCGUCGCAGGUCUCUAGGCCUUCCCCGGCUCCCCGCGGAGGACGGGGUGAGGCCCAGAAAACAAGCAUUGGCGUGGUGGAGCGUGGGUACUGAGUGCGCAGGCUCACCUGGAGCCCCUGCGCAAGGGCGCCUGGGAGACCCGCCGUGGCGGGAGAGGGGACUUGGACCUCGAGGGUGGCGCAGACGUACGGCCCUUCCCUGGCCUGAGGCACCCGGGGUAGGGCCUGCGCUACGCGUUUACAGACCCGUUACCUGUGUCUGGUGCGGGAGGCAGCCUGUUGGCUAGCCCGGAAGUAAGCUCCGGUUUUAGAAUUCCAUCGGGGCACAUGUUUACCGGAUUGAAUACGUUCUGGCGGAAAGAGAGCGGAUUCCACCCGUCCUAGAACGACUGCCCCGGGCGCUGGCACUUGUCAGAGGUGAGCGUCCGCGGCGGCUGGCCCCGAUGGGACGCUCCGCGACGGCUUUUCAAAGGCGGGGCCGGAGCCCCUGAGGAGCCGCGGGCUGAAUGGAUGCGGAGCUGCGGUCAGGGAGCCAUCACCUAGGUGGGCUGACAAGACCAGCGCUUCGUCCGUCACAGAGUAGCCUAGGGCGAGGAGGGGGCCACGGCUCCAGCAAACGCAGAGCCCAGCAGCAGAGACGUGUCCUUAUUCAUUCAUUCUUCAGUGUAUUCUGAGAGACUGGGUGUGUGAGACCUAUACUGGAAUCUGGAGGAUACGGAGGGAAACUGAAUCAGGAAAGGGAGAGGUGGUUUGUCCAAUAGCCAAGAUCUUUAUACCGGGUGCUUUGGGAGAAAUCAUAACUGCUCCUGGGCUCCGCACCUGCAACUUCAUUCCUGGAGACUUGCCUGAGUAGAAGCCAAGGUCAAGGCGUGGCUGUUUGGUGCUUCACUUGAUGCCACAACCUUCUAAAGAAAUGUUGGAAUCAAAGGGGGGAACGGCCACCUUCUUCCAGCACUACCUUCACACCUGUGUCUGGGCCCCAUGGCCUUCCUCCCCUUGCUGCUGCAUCUGGGUUGCUAGGCUCCUUCCUGAGACCACCCUCCCCACUUGGAUCCCAUUCCCCUCUCCAGUCAGGGGCACCAUUUUCACUUUCUCCCCCUCAGCGCGAACUCUGCAGCCCCCUGAAUGGCUUCACUUGACCUCCACGAUGAGGCUUUCUUCUUUCUUCCCACCAUGGGGACUGGUGACAGCUGGAGGAGCCCAGCCUCCAAGACGGCCCGAAGUCCUCGCCUUCUGCUCUUUGUUCCCUGGGGAACUUCCUUGGUGAUAGGCCCAUCCCUGAACCAGUCACUGAGGCCAAGGGGGAUAUCCGGUCUCUGGGCCACACUGGGUCUGGGGCUCCUCCUGGAGUCAGCGGGGUGGGGAUCAGCCACACCUGAACUGCAGGACAGGCCAGUAAGAGAAGGGGCCACCUCAGAAGAGAUGUAGCGAGCGCUUGGGGGGCAAACACAGCACCUGGGGUGGGACGCGAAGUAGCUAUUACAAGGAAAGGGAGGGAUGUGCGUGUGUUCAGCAGGUUCAUUUCCCCUCUUCAUGCCCACAUCUCUGGUGGACUCGCGACUACUCCCGCUUGCUUCCUUCUACGCCACAUUCAGCAGAUGGAUCUGUUGAUACCUAAACACAAGGCACAGUUUGUGUACCUGGUAUAGAUUUUCUUUCUUUAUCCUCUGCAGUCCUAUGAGGUCAUACUUUUUUUUUUUUUUUUUUUUUAAAGUUAUCAGCCUCUGCUUCACAGAUGAAGGAUCACAUACGGAGAGGCUAAGUAACUUGUUCUAGGCACCUGGCGAGUAACGGGGCAGUUCAGGAAGCAUAAGCUCCCGUCCCCACUAUACAACACUCUGUGUCUCAGGAACUCAAUCCAUUUUGAAUGGAUUUCUCAUCCAGUGUGGCGGCCCAGGCACAAAUGUCCCUGGGUAGGUGACCCCCCCCCCAAAAAAAGAAGCAAGUGUCACAGGAGCAUCCGUCCACUGAGUGUGUCUGAGAGCCCAUGACUGGGAUGGCGCUUCCCACCGCAGAGCCCUACGGGACCGUCUUGGUUGCAAGGGAAAGGAGCCUGGUCUAGUCCACCUUCAGCCUUCUCCUCUGGCACAUGGGGCCACCCCGCAGAAUGGCAGGGGUGCAGCUGGUCUGAGAGGGUUGCCAACAACAGAAACAACUCAAACUAGUUUAGGCAAAGAGGGGGAAUAUCUUGGCUCCGGUAACCAAAUCCCAGGGAGGAAAGGGGUGUAGCCGUCCUCGGGGUGUGAAAAGCAGCCAGCAGCUGUCUCUCUACCACUUGAAUCUGCAUGUUGGCAGCAAAGUGUCACGCAAGUCUUCCCCAUGAGGUCAGAACGGUGCUAUUCCUAGGUUAUCCCUCUGCAAGGAGGAGUCUUGCUUGCCUUGUCCUUAGAAGGCUCUUUCCAGGCCUGGGUUGGGCCACACACAGAGAAUACUGUAAUAUGUCACCUGCGAUGGGAAUAGCGGUAGAGGAGAAACAGUCCCUAAAAUAAGGGGCAGGGUUAAUAUCCUCCAAGAAACAAGGAGGACUGCUACCUAGAGUAAUAUCUGGGCACCAAACCUCAUUCAUGGGGUCUCAGGACCUCCUUCCUUGAGGAAGUAGCUGAGCAGGAAAUUGUUG